UACGUAGGGGGCAAGCGUUGUCCGGAAUCAUUGGGCGUAAAGAGCGUGUAGGCGGCCCGAUAAGUCCGCUGUGAAAGUCCAGGGCUCAACCCUGGAAUGCCGGUGGAUACUGUCGGGCUCGAAUCCGGAAGAGGUGAGCGGAAUUCCCAGUGUAGCGGUGAAAUGCGUAGAUAUUGGGAGGAACACCAGUGGCGAAGGCGGCUCACUGGACCGGUUCUGACGCUGAGGCGCGAAAGCGUGGGGAGCAAACGGG
rnacentral:rRNA from 1 species